ACAUAUAUGAAAUGGGUGUUUUCUGUCCUUAUAGCAAGAGUGCUAGUUUCCAUCAAGCCAAUUAAUGAAUGGGAGGCGAUGUUCAGUGUGAAUACCAGGGGCUGCUAUCUAAUCGGAGAAGAGCUGGGGGCAUUGCCUGCAUCUUAGUACAAGUCGUCAGGUGCCUUGUGAAGUUCCAUGUCUCUUCAGAUUUCAGGGAUAGAUGUUGCUUCAGAUACCCAUGACCUGUUUUGAACCCAGCUAAUUCAGGGUCGUGCAGAUCCAAAUGCCACUAUCUGCUCAGCUACUCUGAAGUCUGAUCCAGCUAAAGAAACUAAAACAAACCAGCAUGACACCAGUGAGAUUUCUCAGGUGCAAGUUAAUUACUGAAAAUUCCUGGCCUCUGAGCCGAUCGGGACUAAUUAAACCUCAUGCUCCCUUCAGCAUAGCAGUGGAUGCCAUAUAGUACUGCAUUCAUCUAAGAGCAAUGAAAACCUGUGCGGAUUGCCCAGUGCAAUUCCAGCUGCAGGGCAGGUCCAAUGGUUUCAGCUGUUACAAGCAAGCAAACUGGCAGUGGCUUCUAUCAGCAUUAAGGUAGCUGAUCGACCAUGACAUGAGGAAAAGCACACGGUUCCACACAAGACUCAUCAAGGAAUGAAAGUCGUAGGCCCUCUCCCAUCUUCUCAUUCCUAGGUCAGAAAUAACAUCAAAUUACUUAUUAAUUAAUCAAUCAACCACCUGACUUCCUGUGAAUAACAAAAAUUAGGCAAGUUUGGAGGGUGGAAGUAAUCUUUCCUUGUAUGUGCUCAAGCCAUUAUGGGAACAGCACCACCAAUAAAGGGAAAGGAUGGGGAAAUUUCACUGUGUAUACUGGGGGAGAGAAAGGUCAGUUCUUUGGAGAGUCUAAAAAGAAUGGCAUUUUUCAAGAGCUUGAUGAAACUGGGUGGGAUAAUGGAAGAGAAAGUCUCAAAAAAAUCCCUGUAUCUGCAGAAAAGCUCAGGUGUGCAUUUGUUCUUAUUAGUCCCUAGAGAAUCCACACUGGGUUCUCAUUCUAGGGGACUCAACCACAAACGCUUCAGUUGGAGCUUGCAUCUUUCUGAAAGUCCAUUAGUUAAUCUGUAGGAAAUCAGGCUUGAUGCCUUUCAGUGCUCACAAGAUUACUUGUGUUCUUUCUGGAACACAGACAGGAAAAUUGCUGAGAUGACAAAGAUAUCCGAUGUGUCUUCCAAGAAUGUCUCUCACCCUUUCAUGAAUGUUUAAAUCUCUCCAUUUCCCAAAUGCGUGCUUAUUUGACAUUUUUAUAACUAACAGGUGUUUUAUGUAGUUUUGUUGGUGCCUCAAACUUACUCAAGAACAUGAAAAAGGGUCUCUCUUUAUCUGGUCUACACCAAUUGACAUUAUCUCAAACCACCUUCAAAUUUCUUUCCAUUCACCUCCAUAACUCUUCCUACAGGCUGUCCUCCAACUUGUCUUCAUAUCUCUAUGGUUAUCUAUUAGAAAGCUGUCACUUGGCCAGACUCUUUUUAAUGUGUUCUGUUGUCAAGAUUUGACACUCCAGUGAAGUGUAUUCAGACUUUUUUGAUCUAUAGAAAUUUUUUAUCGGUGAUGAGGAGCCUUUCAGAAAUUUCACAUGCAUAGAUUGCUGUACAGCGUAUAUGAACUUGCUGUUCUCAUUCGCCCUGCACAUAUCUGUUAGCAGCAGUCCAAGUAUCCCCCCCCCUUCCCCCCCAAUACCAUCCAGAGAUUAUAGAUUGUACAGCUUUAACACAUCAAACUUGGGAUCCUGAAAUGUCAGUCGUGGAUGACUUACACUGUAGAAGAUACCAGAGUUAAAGAUCAAACUAAAAGUAAAUGUAAAUUUGAAACUUAGCAGAUAGCUCCAGUCUCCCAUAAAAGAGUAGGAGUCUGGUUGUUGUGGAAGCUUUAAUAGGCCAUGAUUCCUAGUUAGAUCUACAGAGCACACUUAACGACCCACAUCAUCAGUCAUUGAGGGAUUGCAGUUACCAAGGGAUGGAGAGGAAAAAAGCACCAAGGAGUCUCCAAAAAGCCCAUAUGAGAUUUGGAUGGCUGUAUUGUAUGAAGGGCCUAGGUCAGCCUUUGUGACCUGGGAGAAAAUUGUAGAAAAAUUGAGUCUGUGAGACCUUGCCCUCAGCCCAUAAACAAGCAUAGCUUUCUUUUUCUUUCUUAGUACUGGUUGGAAACCUGGCAUUAAAAACAAACGGAAAAGCUUCUGGGUUCCUCUGAUGUUGUAUGUUGGAAAUUGAGGGCUUUGCUGACUUGAUUGCCACUUCUGAUGAGUGGCUUGCAUUGAAAUCACACAAGUCAGUAUGCUGAAAACUGAGCAAGUGAUACAGAAAACAUAGUCCUUCUGUAAAAUUUGGUUUCAUUUAUUCAUCACUAGCACCUGUUUAAGUUCAAUAACAAAAUAGUUAUUUGGGUUAAUGUCAUCUUCAUUUACAAGCAUUGGGGUUUACAGAAACAUCUGGCCUUACCCAGGUAGAGUGCGUCCUAUAAGAAGCAACCAGGAAUACAGGAAUUCAAAUUUGUCCUAUUUCCAAGCAUAUAUGUUGGUUGGUUGCUUGUUUUCUGGAGAAUAUGAGAGGUAAUUAAAGAAAGAAACAAACAACCCCAAAACCCCCAGCAAACCAACCUCCCUUCCAAGUCAUUAUUGCUGAAGGAAGUACUUCACCUACUCGAAUGUUUCCGAAGUGUUACAGAAGCCUCAGAGAACACAUUUUUCUUCCUUUCUUUAUGUCAGGUUUUUUUUGUUUGUCAUUGAGGUUGAGCUUUCUGCAGGUCUCUUAAAACCCACAGGUUCAGCUGAGUAUCCAAUGGGAUAUUUAAAAACAACUAUUCAUCAAGCUCUUUUUGACACCGAGAGUCACCAGUGUGAUUCCCCAGUAGUAACUUCCCCGGGUGCUUAAAUAGCCUCCUUAGACACUUGGCCCUACAGCCAUGAUUCUGCAAAACAUGCCCAACAUAUGCUCAGCUUUAGGCAUGUAAGAAAUCCCACCCUGCUCAGCUCCCUCGAAAAAAUCACACCCCAGACCUAAACUGCUGUGCUCAGUAUAUAAUAUUUUAUUUGGACAUCUGUUCACGGAGAGCAUGGCAACGAGUGCAAAGCUUCCUUCCCAUGUCUACAUGGGUCCUCAUUUUCCAGGGUUAAAACCUGAAUCAAGUUUUUCCUUUAGCAAGGACAAGCUGCAAAGGGCAGACAGCCUCAUUAAAAAAGAAAUCUAUAAAUCCUGUAGUCCUCUCCUCGCCUCUGUUAACUACAGUGUUUGAGGUGAAAGCUGUUAACUGCGGCUUUUAAAAGGUAUGCAUAAAUGCAACCUUUUCCUCAAAAACUUUGAAAAUGUGCAUAAACAAUAACAAUUUACGAUAAAUGCAAUGCUCUUUUACUAGAUUUAUGUGCUAAAACCAACAACUACUUACAAUAAUGAAAUGCAUGGGCUAGAUUUUUCUUUCGCCUGAGUCACUCCAUUACCUCCAGUGCUUUAAGAGAAUUGCUGCGAAGUAGAAUCGGGCCCUUAAUGGUUUGCCAGCUACCACACUGACAUUACACCCAGACAACAGUCAGAAAUUUAUAUUUAGGUCCACAAGAACAGUACAUUCGAUAUCUUUAAGUGUUUUAUGAGGCAGGACUUUUCUGACUGCUCUGGCAAAACCGCCGGUGUGCAUAGUAACUGGAGCUUUGAACAAAUAUUGCAGUUAUGAUUUACAGCACAAUUGCCAGAGUCUCCCUGGCUUCAUCUCUGAUGGCUACUUACUCAGGCUGUCAUUUUUAGCUCCACAGAUUCUAUCUGCCUUGGCCUCUUCCACAAACACUGGAUUCACUGGAGUGUGUUGCAGACAAUACAGCUCUCAAACAAUGAAGCAUUUGUGUUCAUUUUCUUCUAUUUUAUCUUUGGAAUUCUACUAUUUAGGUCACUAUCUGUUGCUUCCAGCUAUUCUUUCCUGACAAAUUGUAGCUCUUUUUAGGCUUAAAAAGAUAUAAUCAAUGAAUUCAUCCGUUAUUCCUCUGGGUAUAAAGGUCUAGAUGUAAUAAGUGGUACACAUAGUAUAAGAAAGAUUACAUUGCUAUUCCUGAAUUGCAGCCCAAAGAUUAAUUGUGCCUUUAUAAGCCAAAAUUUGAAGAGCUGCUGGAUGCUGGCCUCUGAAAAUCUGAUACAACACAAUAAAACCCCAGUAUUACUAGAUUUCUCAAAUGCUUUAUACGUGAUCUCUCACCAGCAUGACCUGGAAGGGUGUGAAUGUAUGUAUGUAUAUUCCACAGCACAUAAUUUUAGAUGCAGAUAAGGAAAAUAAUGAUGAACAAACCUUUAUCUGAUCAUAUCUUAGUAUCUGCUUUUCCUAAAAGAAAGAAAAUAAUUCACCACAUUUUUUACUUGAAAAAGAUAAUCCUUGGAUUUUAGCAAGUAACAUCACUCAUCGUGAAAUGCAUCAAUAUCCGUGGGAUAAAAACUAUACUUAGGUAUGGGAACAUACUGGAAUUCCAUUCAUAUUUAAACUUAAGCUCACUGAUUGCUCUGCUCAUGUAAAAAAUUACUAUGCUCUGAAUGAAAUGAAAAUGAGUGCUUAAGCAAACAGUCAUAAAUUAAUUUAUAAUGAAACAUGACAGUCAUAAUUUAAUUUAGAAUGUAUUUAAGAUUGUUGUUACUAUUCGUAUAGGUCUGUUCUGCCUGGAGGAAGAUGUGGCUUCUUAGUGAAAUGUCAGCUAUUGAAAUACAAAACUUCUUAUGCGUACAUGUGUUUUAAUUAAUUAAAAUAAUGUAGCUACUUUCCUAAUGGAGAUCUGUUGUCUGUGGCAAGCAGUCAGACAAAAGACUGCAUGAUCGAGGAACAUGCAGUAUCAGUGGAGCACCAAGGACUUACCAGGAAGCAUGAGGGACACAGAGCCCAACCUGUAAAAUCUGUGGGGUCAUGAGGCUGCCACUUAGCUUCCUUCCACAGUGGUGAGGAACAGGGAAUGUAAUGAGAGCAAGGAGCAGGUGCUUUUGUAGUUCUCAUCUGUUCUCCGAAGCUGUUGGCUGCCCAGGUACAGCAGAGUGGCUGUCUAGGCCCAGUACCACGUCCUUGAAAUACCUGUUAGAUAGAUGGCUGCUUUUGCUGAUGUAAAGCUGAGCACAUAUGAAAUGUAGCUCAGGCACCUAUCAUCUGAAUUGUCCUCUCGGCAUCACUGACUGCCAUAAGAGCCCCUGAAAUGACUCUAGGUCUAACCUGUGCCUCUCAGGUUAGGAGGCACCAAGCUAGCUCUACUUACACCCCUGCUGCAUUGCUGGCUUUAAUAUCCAGAUGUUCCAGAAUUAGGCAGAGGUUAAACUCCUCAUGUUUGCAAUGCUGUCAACAGCAGUAUGCUGCCCUGUGUGCUGGGCUGGGUCCAUGUCCAGCACCCUGCUGAUGCCAGCAUAGCAGGAAGAGGUGAAGGGCAAGACUAGCAGUUACAGCACAGGCACU